rnacentral:rRNA from 1 species
AUAAUGGGUCAGCGACUUAUAUUCUGUAGCAAGGUUAACCGAAUAGGGGAGCCGAAGGGAAACCGAGUCUUAACUGGGCGUUAAGUUGCAGGGUAUAGACCCGAAACCCGGUGAUCUAGCCAUGGGCAGGUUGAAGGUUGGGUAACACUAACUGGAGGACCGAACCGACUAAUGUUGAAAAAUUAGCGGAUGACUUGUGGCUGGGGGUGAAAGGCCAAUCAAACCGGGAGAUAGCUGGUUCUCCCCGAAAGCUAUUUAGGUAGCGCCUCGUGAAUUCAUCUCCGGGGGUAGAGCACUGUUUCGGCAAGGGGGUCAUCCCGACUUACCAACCCGAUGCAAACUGCGAAUACCGGAGAAUGUUAUCACGGGAGACACACGGCGGGUGCUAACGUCCGUCGUGAAGAGGGAAACAACCCAGACCGCCAGCUAAGGUCCCAAAGUCAUGGUUAAGUGGGAAACGAUGUGGGAAGGCCCAGACAGCCAGGAUGUUGGCUUAGAAGCAGCCAUCAUUUAAAGAAAGCGUAAUAGCUCACUGGUCGAGUCGGCCUGCGCGGAAGAUGUAACGGGGCUAAACCAUGCACCGAAGCUGCGGCAGCGACACUAUGUGUUGUUGGGUAGGGGAGCGUUCUGUAAGCCUGCGA